GAUUGGCCUGAAAUUCAGAGAUCCACCUGCCUCAGCCUUUCAAGUACUGGGAUUAAACAUGGCUGAAUAAUCAUCUCUGAGCCACCUACUUGCCACAAGUUGUGUUCCUUAGAAUUGAUUCCCUCAACGUAGUCAGAAGCUGUCCAAGGUCUGAAGGCUCCUGACUGGGCAAGGACCUCCUACAUCUACGGGACGCCAGACGAGAGAGCUCUUGACCCUGCUUUAAGGACCAUAAUAAUCUAAAGAGCCUUAACAGCCCAAGACACCUGCUAUGAUUUAAGUGACUGCAGCUGGCAAUUGUGGACAAAGUCUGCUUUGAUAUCAUUCUAGGUACAUACAGAGAAUACUUAACAAGACCCAUCAAGAUACAAAGAACUUAUUCUUCAACUGCAUUCAUCUUGAUCCUACUUCCUGCCCUAGCCCAAUGUCAAAUUCCUGCCAAAUUCCUAGACGCUGCACCAAAAGCUCUCCACUCUUCCUUUUACCCGGUCACACCAUCACCUUGACUAAGGUGUGCAGCCAAACAUGGGAAGUGGAGCGGGACACUAAUGACCUUGAGAGGAAGCUGUGUGUUUGAGGAAUGAAAACGCGGCACACUAGCAAGCUCAGGGUCUUGUGAAGGCUAGCCUCCAGCUUGAUCUGUAGCGAGGAUGGCCUACAGCUCCAACGUGUGC